UUCAUUCACUUCGCUGGUGCUGGCGCUCUCGAGAAGGAAAAUAUUUUUGCUUUUCACAUCCAAAAUCCGAUUUCUGUAACUCGAAUUGAGAAAAUACUCUUCCAUUGCAGUCGAUACCAUCAUUGAAGAAAAAAAAUUCUUCGAUUCGCACCCUCAAGUCUCCGGAAAAAUCAGUUGUUUUGAGAAUACCACAGAAGGUCUAAGCUUGAGGAAUAUUCAGAAUGCUUAUUGUGAAC